GUACAUGCUCUAUGUUGGCUAAUUUGACAAUAAAUUAUAUUAACAAAAAAACUAUUUCCUAAGUAUAAACCUCCUCGCUAAAAGAUUUCCCUAACUCAUCCUUUUGUUUUAUUUUUCCUUUCUUUCUUAUUUUUCCACUAAUAGAUCUUUUUUAAAGAUCUUUUUAAGCAGGUAACUUGAUAAAUUUAGAGGAUUUGGUUAAAGUUGUGAGUAUACUCAGGUAAACACUGAGUAUGGUGCUUCUAGUUUUUGAAGAAAAUUCUAGUCUUUGAAGAAAAUUAUCCACCAGGGCAUCUGGAUUGGCCUCCUGGGCUUAUUUGCACAAGAAAGAUAUUCCCAUCCAGAAGGACAGUAUGUAUCCAUUCUAUUCAGAGCAUUUCAACCCCUCACUCCUGGAUGAGAUACAGUCUAAAUCCCAUCAUUGAAACUACAUGUGACAAGCAAAGCUUCAACCACCUAGGCCAUACUGUUCUCUGAUUCUUCCUGAUCACGCUUUUCUGACGGACAUACACAUCUGAGACUGCACAAUUCACUCUAGGAUUCAGCAAACUGCCUUAGCUGAAUAAAUGCAUAUGACGGCCUCUACUGGGGAGACUUAGAAGAAAAAAAUACAUAUAAAGACUGUACUGCUCGA